UGUUAUUAGCUACUCAUAUUGUCCAUCAAUGUUCCAUAUCAAUUGGCCAUUUCUGCUUCUUAUAGAGAUCCUUAGACAUAAGAUUUAUUUCAGAACCAUGAUCGACUAAAGCAACAAUUGAUUUUUCUAUAUCUCCUACUUUCACCAAUACUUCAAUAGUUGUCUUUGUCUAAUGUUUCCAAGUAUAAUGGCUUGAAGCUUUCAUUUCCUUAUCACUAUAAUCUUUGAAACGUACUCCUUGAUUAUAUCCAUUAUUUUCAUUUUUUGAUUGUUUUUAACCAUUAUCAACCUCUUUUUUAUCUUUAUAUAGUCCUACAUCAAUAGAAUGACUCAUUCCAGCUUCACCCAUUAAUU
rnacentral:lncRNA from 1 species